rnacentral:rRNA from 1 species
UACAGAGGUCUCAAGCGUUUGUUCGGAUUCAUUGGGCGUAAAGGGUGCGUAGGCGGCGCGGUAAGUCGGAUGUGAAAUCUCGGAGCUUAACUUCGAAACUGCAUUCGAUACUGCCGUGCUUGAGGACUGGAGAGGAGACUGGAAUUUACGGUGUAGCGGUGAAAUGCGUAGAUAUCGUAAGGAAGACCAGUGGCGAAGGCGGGUCUCUGGACAGUUCCUGACGCUGAGGCACGAAGGCCAGGGGAGCAAACGGG